rnacentral:rRNA from 1 species
AUUGAACGCUGGCGGCAGGCCUAACACAUGCAAGUCGAACGAGUGGCGGACGGGUGAGUAAUGUCUGGGAAACUGCCUGAUGGAGGGGGAUAACUACUGGAAACGGUAGCUAAUACCGCAUACCAUCGGAUGUGCCCAGAUGGGAUUAGCUAGUAGGUGGGGUAAAGGCUCACCUAGGCGACGAUCCCUAGCUGGUCUGAGAGGAUGACCAGACACACUGGAACUGCGACACGGUCCAGACUCAUACGGGAGGCAGCAGUGGGGAAUAUUGCACAAUGGGCGAAAGGCUGAUGCAGCAAUGCCGAGUGUAUGAAGAAGGCCUUCGGGUUGGAAAGUACUUUGAGCGGGGAGGCGUGAAGGGAAGAAGAAGCACCGGCUAACUCCGUGCCAGCAGCCGCGGUAAUAC